AAAAUAAAUGUGUUCUCAACAUGCACCUCCUCAGAACAAGGCUGCUGUCUGUUCCUCAGCUGGGAGGUAAGAUGAAGCCCAGCCUGUAAGCAACCUCGGGCAGGGGCUGCCGACACAAAGCUCCAGCAGUGAACACGGAUGCCUCAAAAUAACCUGGGGAACCUGAUCAAAAGAUCCAAGUUCUGUGUGUGAUAACGAAUACAGAUAUCGAAGCGGGUUCUGCUGUGCAGCUGCCGAGGCUGGCCCAGCCCUGCCCAGGCUCUCCUAUAUUAGCCUCCUGGCAAACCCUGGUGUUCUUCAUCCAGGGAGACCUUUUCUCAUCAGUGGCUCAAUGUCAAGGGAGCUCUUUGUGUGAACGGUGAUGAGUCUAUGAAGCAAGGUGUUCUCUUUAUACAACUAUCUGGACCCCCGGUACAUUUGAAGGCUGAAUGCCUUUGUUGUGGGGAAGAGCUGCUCCGACAGAGAAAUGGCUUUCCUUGAGAAAAUGGCUCACUGCUGAAGAAGUCUCCAUUAUGAAGAGGCUUCUUCCUAAAUUAAUGAUUUGCUUCAGUGCAGGCUGAUCACAGAAAAUAAUAUAAGGUACAGAUCAAAGACUCCAAAUAUUAGAACAUGGGCUAUGGAAGAUCCAUCUCCAAGCUUCCCAACUUUCUUUUCCAGAGAUUAAGGAACAAGAUAGGAGACCAUGCCUAUGACUCGUCCCACUGAUUGUCAAGUAGAAACAGUGGAGGAAUUGGAAGUUAGUUUAGCUGUUACAAAGUAUCACUUAUGAAAAUGCUCUUUAAGAGAAGAUUGAAAAUUAGACCAUUUCCACUCAAUAUCACCAAAACUAGACAAGACCCCUUCAUGAAGUCCUAGAGUCAUCUCUAUAAAUUAUGAUGCAUAAUAAAUAUAGUUAACAAGGAUGAUAAUCUGUUUGAUUUUGAUGUUGAGGCUUCUCACUGGAAAGGUCAACUACUUGUCUUUAUGGUGUGUUAUGGUGGGUGACCCUGUCCCUCUAGUCACACAAGCUGAAAAUCACUGAUGGCAAAAUAAAUCUAUAUCCUAGGGCCCUCAGGUGCUUUCUGAAGUAAUUUACGCAUGUACCUAGUUUUGUCCUUGUGUUU
rnacentral:lncRNA from 10 species